UCGGGAAUUUUGGGCAAUGGGCGAAAGCCUGACCCAGCAACGCCGCGUGAAGGAUGAAGGCCUGAGGGUUGUAAAGCACUUUCAGAGGGGAGGAGGACUAUUAGGUUAAGAGCUAGAUAGUUGGACGUUACCCUCAGAAUAAGCUCCGGCUAACUUCGUGCCAGCAGCCGCGGUAAUACGAAGGGAGCUAGCGUUGUUCGGAAUCACUGGGCGUAAAGCGCACGUAGGCGGAUUAUUAAGUCAGGGGUGAAAUCCCGGGGCUCAACCUCGGAACUGCCUCUGAUACUGAUAGUCUCGAGUCCGGAAGAGGUGGGUGGAAUUCCUAGUGUAGAGGUGAAAUUCGUAGAUAUUAGGAAGAACACCGGUGGCGAAGGCGGCCCACUGGUCCGGUACUGACGCUGAGGUGCGAAAGCGUGGGGAGCAAACAGGAUUAGAUACCCACGUAGUCCCUGAG
rnacentral:rRNA from 1 species